rnacentral:lncRNA from 1 species
GCCCCUCACAUUAAGGCUCAUUAUCUCAUUUGCACCACCAACUAACUCUUUCCCUAUAAAUAUUGCUGGCACACUUUGUUGACAUCCUAAUUCAAUCAAUGCCUUCUCCAUUUGCUUCCCAUUUGGAUGUGUAUCGAGCUCGUAAAUUAUAGGGUUUGCUCCAAAACUACGGAUUAGGGUUUCAAUGCUGUGAGAAAUGCAACAACUACUCUUGGUGAAAAUCACCACCCCACUUGUUGCUCCCAACUUCAUCACCAUAUCCAUUUUUAAACAAUUACUUCAAGAAAUAAUAAUGAGUAUAGUUUGGUCAAAUGCCAAGAUUUGUAACUUUUAGUGAAGGUUUUUGAAGUGACUUUGAGGGUUGAUUUGUUGUUGAGAAAGUUGAACCUAACAUGAAGCUAUAUAUAGAGGCAUUAUGUUAGCUAAAAGAGAAAAAAAAAGUGAAAUUUCAAAGAACUACAAGUUGAUGAUGUGAUAAAUCUAGAUUGUUCUUGAUUAUAUUUUACACUUGUAAUAAUAAGGGCAUAUUUUGUGCCUUAUCUGGAUUCUAAUAAAGCAUAACAUACUCAUGCAGAAAAUGAAAAGAAUAAAUUCUAUCACCUUUAAAAUAUUCCAAGAACAUAUAUAUGUCACUAGCUAAAGUUUAUCUUAAUAGAUCUUUGUUUUUUCUGUUAGUUCCUUUUCAUGCUUUUUCUUUUUUUGGUUGAAAAAAACGUCUUCCCAUUUCAACAUUUUUAAGUAUCCUGAUUUUUUGCAGUAGAAAAAGUGAACAACUGAUAAUUGAGAUGUGUUCCGACAAAUAUUUGGUGGUAGUUCAGGUAUAUAUGAAUUAAACUCAAAAUAGCGAAAUACUUUAAAUGUGUAGUUUUUGAUCCUUUCACUCAAUAUUUUUCAGAAUAUAUCCUCACAUGCAUAUAGAUGUGUUGUUGAAAUCAAGUCCACAUUAUGAUCCGUACUACAUAGAAACUUUAGUUGAUACGUGAUAAACUUGGUUAAAAUUACAAACUGAUCUCUUCUCAUCCAAAAUAAAAAUAAAAAUACUCCCUUACUACCUCGAAAGGUCAAAUAUUAUUGUAGUAGUCUAUUUUCUCUGGUUAAGGAAUCAACAAUUCGAAACGUAACAGACAAUUGAACGUUUUUUUUUAGGUAAAUGAGAUAUAUAUAUAAAGUAUUAUAACUUAAUAUUCAUCAAUAUAGGUAAGUGGCAGAGCGUUGCUCCUGAUAGUAAUGCUUGCGGAGGGGGUCUUACGUACUUAGUAGUCAUUACAUAAUUCAAUAGUAGUAGAUGGCCUUUUAAGCUAACAAAAAGAGUUUUUACUUUAUUUGCUUCUUUUAUCGAAUACAAACAAGGAAGAAAACGUCCAAAACAUAAAAGAAUUGGUUUUGUCAACCUAAACUUCUUCUUACAAAAUAUUACUAAUAAUUAGAAUAAGUUGGAUGGUCUUUACCUAUAUAGUAAAUGAUUUCUUUGCGAUCUAUAUUAAUUUCAAGGGAUGUUUGAUUAUUUGCGAGUGCAAUCCUUAAUCCUCUUUGCAGCCCAUAUAGUUCUGAUAUAAUAGUUGUUGCUUCAAAAAUGUUGCCUAAUUCAGGGGCGGAGCUAACUUGGGGUUAUAUUAAGAGGUUUAUUCGAAUCCCUUUCAGUAAAAAAUUAUAUUAUUUAUAUAUGGUUAAUUUUUUUUAUGUAUAUGUAAUAGCUGUUGAAUUUACUUCCGUUAGUUCGUGUUUUUAUCUCUUCAUAUUUUUAACGAUUGAAAAUCCUAAUUCCAUCACUGAAUCCCACAAUCCAAUUUCCGUAUUUAUCUCUUAUCACUCCUCCUAUUCCAUUUUUGCCGGAAUUACCCCCUAUUCCAUUAAGGCUAUCAUUACUAACUCCAUCCCAAAAUAUGUGUCAUUUUUUGCAUCUCGCAAUUCAAAUUAUUUGAACUUUGACCAUUAUUUUAAGAUGUUUAUUUUCACCAUAUAUAUUACUAUGGGAAAAAUUACAACUUAUGGUACUUUUUGUAUAGUUUUUAAAUAUCUGAAUUUUAAUUUUUUUUAAUCGUUAAUUUAACAUAAUAUAAUUUAGCUCUGAAGAUUAAUCAAAUUAACUUUUGAGAAAAUGAAAUGUGGACCAAAAUUAUUUUUUUUAACUUGGUCGGUCUAGAUCAUAUCCAAUUCGGCCCAGCCCAUUACAGGCCAACCCAACACGGUUAAAUAAAUGGGCCAAGGAAAGAUUGAGCUUGUAGACCGGUUCAGAGUGGGCUAAAUUUUUUUUGGAAAAAUUACCUAAAUACACAUCUUAUGUUACCAUAAUCUCUAAAAUUCUCUACCAUCUAAUUUUUUUUCAAAAAUUCCCUCUCAGAUACAUCACUCUUCUCUCGCUAAUACAUCCCUAACCCCUCGGAUACUUCCCUCACAUAUGUAUUUGGAUGUCUGUUGAUGUAUCCGGAAGUCUAGUGAUGUAUCUUGAUGUCCUAUCCCCUCUCUUAUACAUCCCUCACCUAUGGAUUUGGAUGUCUUCUAAUGUAUCUGGAAGUUCGGUGAUGUAUCCGGAAGUCCAGUGAUGUAUUCGAAAUCCAUAAAUCUUAAGGAAUUUUUGUAAUUUGGAAACGAGUAGGAAAAUAAUGUAAUUAUCUCUUAACACUAUGAAAUUUAGUUUACAUACACAUUUAGAUGAAUGACAAAUUUAGUACUCUUAAAGGUCAAAAUCUCAAAAUUAAAUUAAUUUGGAAAGCGCUGUUUAAUUUUAAGAUGUAAAUAUCAAUCUCCCCACAUAUUUUGAUACUUAUUAAUUUCAUUAGUAAAAAUUGAUGGACCUUGCUAAAUUUCGAAAUAUAUAAAUAACAAGUAGUGAAACAACUUAAGGUAUGACAUGUAUCCACACACAAAUGUUAAAAUGAUAGAACAUGUAGCCACACAGAGUAGUACUAUAGCUAUAAGAUAUAAUUGUUACUACUUUAGAUCAAAAUUCAAUACGUAAAGAAGUUCAUUGUUAUUGAUUUCAUGUGUGAAUAAAGCAAAAUUGCCACUAGAUUGCCAAAAGAAAAGACUAUACAUGACCUAAGUAUAUAAAUUUUAUUUAUACAUCAAGAAGCAAAAUGUAAGAGAAAACAGAAUGACUCUCUAUAAUAAGGUGAUAAAUUUAUUAUCAAAACUCUAAUUAUUAGACUAAUUGCUAUAUACAUAGCUGGUCAUUAUUAAUUAAUUAAUUAAUUCCCUAUACCCAAAUGGCAUUAGCCCUAAUGAGCAAUUGUUUAAGCUUUCCCCUCACAUUAAGGCUCAUUAUCUCAUUAGCACCACCAACUAACUCUUUCCCUAUAAAUAUUGCUGGCACACUUGGAUGACACCCUAGUUCCAUCAAUGCCUUCUCCAUUUGCUUCCCAUUUGGAUGUGUAUCGAGCUCGUAAAUUAUAGGGUUUGCUCCAAAACUACGGAUUAGUGUUUCAAUGCUGUGAGAAAUGCAACAACUACUCUUGGUGAAAAUCACCACCGGGCUUGAUGUUCCCAACUUCAUCACCAUAUCCAUGUUUAAAUAACUUCAAGAAUUAAUGAGUAUAGUUUGGCCAAAUGCCAAGGUAUGUAUAUAGGUUUUAGUGAAGAGGAAAGAAAUUGUGAAGCUUAAGGCUACAAAAUUUUUUGAAGUGAAUUUGAGGUUUGAUUUGUUGUUGAGAAAAUUGGACCUUCCACGAAGCUAUAUAUAGAGAUAUUAUGUUUGCUAAAAGAGAAAAAAAAUUGAAAAUUGGUAGAAGAAUAUCAAGUUGAUGGAUAUAUGUAGAUUGUUCUUGAUCACUUGUAUGAUAAAGGGCAUGCAUGAAAAAUGAAUAGAAUAUAAUCAUCACCUUUAAAAUAUUCCCAUAACACUGUUCCCUUUGGAUUGUCACUAGAUUUAUUGGUUUUUUCUUUCUCAUUUUUUAAUCUUUUUGUUUAAAAACAAAAAUUCGGCGUAGAGGAAGAGUAUUACAAAGUGAGAAAUCAAACCUUUACCAAUAAAGUGAAAGUUUAGAUAAUUAACCAACCGAGCUACUUCAAUAAUUAUAAAUAUUGCAUUUAAUAUAGGUUAAGUUCUUAUAAGAACAAAAUGUAUAUAUUUUGUAAAUUGUUGAAAACAAUGUACUAUUCUGCUAAAGGAAAAAUAAAUCUAUAUGUCCAGCUGGUGUAAUCUUUUUCAAUAGAAUAUUACUUUUAAUUUGAGAAAUAAAAAAUCUUUUAAGAAUAUAUAUCCUCAUAUAGACGUGUUGUUGAAAUAAAGUCCACACUAAUUAUACGAUCUGUACCAUAGACAAAUUUUGAUUAAAAUUCCCUUUGGUAUAAAGUAGAUAUAUCAAGAAAGGGAAUGUAGUACAAUUAGUACUGAUCCAGAAAAAUGCUUGAUCCCUUACAAUUUCGAAAGGCCACAUAUUAUCAUAGUACUCUAUUUUUCCCAGGUAAAGGUAUCGAAAUGUAACGAUUAAUCGAUUAAUAUAGGCAUAAUACAUAUAUAUGUCAAUUAAUUUGGCAUCAUCUAGCAUUUAUUGGGUGUGAACAAGUAGAUACUUAAACUUGUAUAAAGUUGAACAAGUCGACAGACGCGUCCUAUGUGGCAUGGUACACAUAAGACGCCACAUAAGAUGUUGCAUAGAACGUGAAUUGUCACGUAGGACGUGUGUGUCUACUUGUUCAAUUCUAUACAAGUUAAAGAGCCUACUUGUGCAUCCAAAAUUGGAAGGCAUAGAUGUCAGAUAAAACCAAAUUAAAGGUCAUAAAGUAUUACAAUGUAAUCUUGGAAUGUUAUUCAAAGAUAUUUUUUGAGAUGAUCAAAGCUAAUUACAAUAACCCUUGGCAAAUGAAGAACAUCAUUACUCAUAUUCAAAAUAUUUCAAGUACUAUUACUUGCGAGGUACAACAUUGUUACAGGGAAGUCAAUCAAGUAGCAAAUGUCUAGGCAAAAUGGGGUUAUUACAAAUGAGGAGUUUUUUGCGCAUGCUUACCUACCAUUGAUAGCCAUCGGACCUUACCAACUUGAUCUCAUACAAAUGAGUCCCUACAACAUAAGCAGAGGAAAAAAAUAUUUGUAUAAAACUGAUUCAGUUGAGAUGUUAUAGCUAAUUUUGUCUAUCACGUUGGAUUUGUAAAUUUGUGCAAAACUUGUAUAAUUAUUGCCAGAAUCUUAGUUUUCGUGAAGCAGCUUUUGGCUACGAUGUGGAACAUUGGGUCGAGCUUAAGCUCCCCUAGCUUUGUAAUUUUAUUCAUCAAUAUAUAUAAAGGUCUUACCACCAUAUGGUGAUAAAUUAUUAUUUUUUUAGAAAAAAAUCAUAUUUAUGUAAUAUGCCAUGUUAAAUAUUAAAAUUAUCGUUAUAACUAAACCUGUCAACUAGGUCGGUCGGUCAAGGUCAUAUCCAAUUCGACCCAACCCAGUAAUGAUAAUGACAUAAGUUGAACUUAAAUUUAAGUAGGGACGAUUAUGAUUUUAUGAUACAUGCAUGCUUGACAAGGACGACUAUUUAUUAUUAUUAUUAUUAUUAUUAUUAUUAUUAUUAUUAUUAUUAUUAUUAUUAUUAUUAUUAUUAUUAUUAUUGGUUUAACAAUGUCGGUUUCUAGCGUACCACACAUUCUCAUGUACUAUAUAUUAUAUGCCUAGAGCAAAUUGGAACACAUUCCCCUGCAUUGAAAAAAAAAAGGAUAAAUGACAAAUCUUCUUAUUGAUGGCUAGAAGAUUUCAUUCAUAUGUCACCUCAAAAAUCAAAACUUUUAAUGUAUCUAAGUAAGAAUAUUUGCAAUAUGAUUUCCUGUUAGAACAAGUUGUUGAAUUGUUUAGAUAAAAGAAAGACAUUCGAAAGGGUCAUUAAAAGUUUCUAGAUAACUUAGAACAAAUAUAUUUUGAUCCUUAAAUAAAAUCUACCAACAUUUUUGUUUGUUUGUAAUGAAGCCGCCUUGGGGUGGUGGGAGGUUAGCUAUGGACCCUUACUUUGUAAGAGGGGAACAUAAAAUCUAACCUCCGCAAAUUAGAGGUGAAAAUUAAAUCUUUUUAAUUUUCAGAAACAACAUGUUUAGUGGAUGAAAAUAACAUUUUCAAGGAUAUAGUUAAAGGUGAAGGAGUAAAAGAAUUUAACUCAAAUGAAGAAUCUUUUGAGGAGUGACUCCAUGUAAAAAAACCUUAAAAAAUUUAGUUCGAGUAGAGUCCUUUGCUAGCAUAUUCAUUGUUUCUAUUAUUAUUAUUAUAUUAUGUAUGCGUUUCAAAGUUGAUGUAGAGGAAGAGUAUUACAAAGUGGGAAAUCAAACCUUAACCAAUAAAGUGAAAGUUUAGAUAAUUAAUCAACUAAGCUACUUCAAUAAUUAUAAAUGUUGCAUUUAAGUUAAGUAUAAGAACAAAAUGAUCCAACAAAAUGUAUAUAUUUUGUAAAUUGUUGAAAACAAUGUAGUAUUCUACUAAAGGAAAAAUAAAUCUAUAUGUCCAGCUGGUGUAAUCUUUUUCAAUAGAAUAUUACUUUUAAUUUGAGAAAAAAAUGAAAUCUUUUAAGAAUAUAUAUCCUCAUAUAGACGUGUUGUUGAAAUCAAGUCCACAUUAAUUAUACGAUCUGUACCAUAGACAAAUUUUGAUUAAAUUUCCCUUUGGUAUAAAGUAGAUAUAUCAAGAAAGGGAAUGUAGUACAAUUAGUACUGAUCCAGAAAAAUGCUUGAUCCCUUACAAUUUCGAAAGGCCACAUAUUAUCAUAGUACUCUAUUUUUCCCAGGUAAAGGUAUCGAAAUGUAACGAUUAGUCGAUUAAUAUAGGCAUAAAUCAUAAUACAUAAAUAUGCCAUUUAAUUUGGCAUCAUCUAGCAUCUAUCAGGAGUGUACACGUAGACACUUAAAUUUGUAUAAAGUUGAACAAGUCGACACACACGUCCUAUGUGGCAUGGUACACGUACGUAAGAGCGUCUUAUGUGGCAUGGUACACGUAAGACGCCACAUAAGAUGUUGAAUAGAACGUGAAUUACCACGUAGGACAUGUGUGUCUACUUGUUCAAUUCUAUACAAGUUAAAAUGCCUACUUGUGCAUCCAAAAUUGGAGGGCAUAUAUGUCAGAUAAAACCAAAUUAAAGGUCAUAAAGUAUUACAAUGUAAUCUUGGAAUGUGAUUCAAAGAUAUUUUUUGAGAUGACCAAAGGUAAUUACAAUAUCCCUUGGCAAAUGAAGAAUAUCAUUACUUGUAUUUAAAAUAUUUCAAAUACUAUUACUUGUGAGGUUCGACAUUGUUACAGGGAAAUCAAUGAAGUUGCAAAUGUCUUGGCAAAAUGGAGUAUUACAAAUGAGGAGUUGGUUGUUUUUGCACAUGCUCACCUACCAUCGAUAGCCAUCAGACCUUACCAACUUGAUCUCAUACAAAUGAGUCCCUAAGGCAUAAGCAGAGGAAAAAAAAUAUUUGUAUAAAACUGAUUCAGUUGAGAUGUUAUAGCUAAUUUGUUUCUAUCGCAUUGGACUUGUAAAUUUGUGCAAAACUUGUAUAAUUUUUGCCAGAAUCUUAGUUUUUGUGAAGCAGCUUUUGGCUGCGAUGUGAAACAUUGGGUCGAGCUUAAGCUCCCCUUAGCUUUGUAAUUUUAUUCAUCAAUAUAUAUAAAGGUCUUACCACCAUAUGGUGAUAAAUUAUUAUUUUUUAGAAAAAAAAAUCAUAUUUAUGUAUUAUGCCAUGUUAAUAUUAAAAUUAUUGUUAUAACUAAACCUGUCAACUAGGUCGGUCAGUCAAGGUCAUAUCUAAUUCGACCCAACCCAUUAAUGGUAAUGAUAAUUACAUAAGUUGAACUUAAAUUUAAUAUAGGACGAUUAUGAUUUUAUGAUACAUGCAUGCUUGGCAAGGACGAUUAUUUAUUGCAUUAUUAUUAUUAUUAUUAUUAUUAUUGGUUUAACAAUGUCGAUUUCUAGCGUACCACACAUUCUCAUGUACUAUAUAUUAUAUGCCUAGAGCAAAUUGGAACACAUUCCCCUGCCAUUGAAAAAAAAAAGGAUAAAUGACGAAUCUUCUUAUUGAUGGCUAGAAGAUUUCAUUCAUAUGUCACCUCAAAAAAUCAAAACUUUUAAUAUGUAUCUAAAUAAGAAUAUUUGCAAUAUGAUUUCCUGUUAGAACAAGUUGUUGAAUUGUUUAGAUAAAAGAAAGACAUUCGAAUGGGUCAUUAAAAGUUUCAAGAUAAUUCAGAACAAAUAUAUUUUGAUCAUUAAAUAAAAUAUAUCAACAUUUUUUUUUUUGUAAUGAAGCCGCCUUGGGGUGGUGGGAUGUUAGGAAUGGACCCUUACUUUGUAAGAGGGGAACAUAAAAUCUAACCUCCGCAAAUUAGAGGUGAAAAUUAAAUCUUUUUAAUUUUCAGAAACAACAUGUUUAGUGGAUGAAAAUAACAUUUUCAAGGAUAUAGUUAAAGGUGAAGGAGUAAAAGAAUUUACUUCAAAUGAAGAAUCUUUCGAGGAGUGAUUCCACGUAAAAAAAACCUUAAAAAUGUAUUUCGAGUAGAGUCCUUUGCUAGCAUAUUCAUUAUUUAUAUUAUUAUAUUACGUAUGAUGUUUCAAAGUUGAUGUUCCGGCUAAUGAGCUAGAAUCAAGAUAUUCCAACAAAAGUGAUAUCUUUCACUGGGAAACUAUGGGUAUUAUUUACUAGGACAUUAUGAAUGAACCCAUAAAAUUUGAGCUUAAACAGAGUCGAUACUUCUAGUAAAUUAAAGAUGAAAGAGAUCAUAAUUCAGAGCUAAUGUUCUUUAUUUCAUGUGAUGGACUUUGCUCAAUCUCAAAAUGUAUUAAAUGAUAAAAACAUAAAGCAUAUAGCCACAAAAGUACGUAGUAGAAAAAAAAUAUUAUUGAUACUUCAGAUUAAAAUGCAUUACAUACAUAAAAGAUGCUCAUUUGUUAUCAACUUCUUUAUUUCAUGCUAUAAGAUGCAUACAAAGUAAAAUUGCCACUAGCUAUGACCAAAGUAUAUUACUUUAUUUGUACAUCAAAAAACAACUUAAAAUGGGAGAAAAAACAACCCUCUGAAGAAGCUAAAGAAACUAUACAAAUGGGGUUGGUUUAUUGUAAAAAUUAAUAAUUUGACCUCGAGAGAUCGGUAUUUUUUUAAUUAUUUUUUUUUAGAAAAAAGAAGAAUAGUUGUAUAAACUCUUACACUUGCAACCAAGUCAUUAUUUUCUAUACCCAAAUGGCAUUUGCCCUUAUGAGCAAUUGUUUAAGUUUGCCCCUCACAUUAAAGCUCAUUAUCUCAUUUGCACCACCAACUAACUCUUUCCCUAUAAAUAUUGCUGGCACACUUGGUUGACACCCUAGUUCCAUCAAUGCCUUCUCCAUUUGCUUCCCAUUUGGAUGUGUAUCGAGCUCGUAAAUUGUAGGGUUUGCACCAAAACUACGUAUUAGAGUUUCGAUGCUGUGAGAAAUGCAACAACUACUCUUAGUGAAA